rnacentral:lncRNA from 1 species
AAAAAUCUGACUCUUGUUCCAUUUUUCAAUUUCAUUUUUAGUUUUCUCUACCAUUUAGAUACAAAAUAAAAAAUAAAAAAAGGAUCAUCCUCUUCAUUUAGUUUCAGAUUAGCUUGGCAUUCAUAUACAGAAAAACUACACAAAAUAUAUACAAAAGAAAAUAGAAAACCAAAAAGAGAUGGUGACUGUUCCAUUGGUUUAGAUAUAGUUUCAGCCAAGAUCUCUUGUUAUUUCGUUGUUUGGGUUUUAAUUUCGAGUUGUUUGAAUCAGAUUUCAAGGUUGUGGUAGUUGGUUGCUGUGUUUUAGUGGUUUGGGUGUAUUUUUGGGUUGGAUCUGCAGGUUCUUUCUUUAAAAACUGGGUUUGAGCAUCUCUGAGUCUUUUCUUUCAUCUGGGCUGCUGUGUUUCCUGUUGCUGUUGGUUCUGGAUAAUUUAAAUCGCUGCUGACCUUUUUCCAUUGUCCAUGUUCUGCUAAAUCCAGGUACACAUCUUGAGGCCUUUUUGAUGUAGCUUCAUCGUUGCAAUUAAAAUGAGAACGAG